AAAAAAAAUACGCUCAUUAUGCAAAUCAGUCGUGUUGCGCACUAGUUACCUAUAUAAAGUUUUGAAAAUCAAGUACAUCACAACUCCACAUCUUGAUAUUCAACUACAAACACUACAACAAUGGCAUUUUGAAGACUACGUUUGCUUGGCUACUGAUAGCUUUCGCGAUGGUGGUCGGGACCGAAGCCACACUCGUCAGAGAAUGCGAUAACUUCUGCUCCUACGAUUACGAAUAUUAUGAGAGGGACAAGUGCUGCCAAGAUUAUGGAUAUAGUGUCUCCAGAGACUGUUUAUAUCACAGCAUAAUGGACUGCGUAUGAUACUCCUGACUAACCUCGGCACAGAAUAUUUCUGUUACAAAAUGUACCUAAUUACUUUUUUUUUUU
rnacentral:misc_RNA from 1 species